rnacentral:tRNA from 1 species
UUAAAGAUGCCAGACAAAUGGGGAUGGUUUAGGGUUAUCUAAUGUGUUUAAAUUAAAACACUCUUUAAU